CAGCCGCCACGGUAAUACGUAGGGUGCGAGUGUUAAUCGGAAUUACUGGGCGUAAAGCGUGUGCAGGCGGUUCGUUAAGACAGAUGUGAAAUCCCCGGGCUUAACCUGGGAACUGCAUUUGUGACUGGCGAGCUAGAGUAUGGCAGAGGGGGGUAGAAUUCCACGUGUAGCAGUGAAAUGCGUAGAGAUGUGGAGGAAUACCGAUGGCGAAGGCAGCCCCCUGGGCCAAUACUGACGCUCAUGCACGAAAGCGUGGGGAGCAAACAGGAUUAGAUACCCCGGUAGUCCCUGUCUCUUAUAC
rnacentral:rRNA from 1 species